rnacentral:rRNA from 1 species
AGCAGCCGCGGUAAUUCCAGCUCAAUAGCGUAUAUUAAGUUGCUGCAGUUAAAAGCUCGUAGUUGAAUUUCGGGACUGAUAUGUCGGUCGUGCCUCGGUACGUACUGGUAUUUUUGGUUUCUCCCUUCUGACGAACCUUGAUGUCAUUAAUUUGGUGUCUUGGGAAAUCAGGACUGUACUUGAAAAAUUAGAGUGUUUAAAGCAGGCUCACGCUUGAAUACAUUAGCAUGGAAUAAUGAAAUAGGACGUUUGAUUCUAUUUUGUUAGGUUUCUAGGGAUCGACGUAAUGAUUAAUAGGGAUAGUUGGGGGCAUUAGUAUUCAAUUGUCAGAGGUGAAAUUCUUGGAUUUAUUGAAGACUAAACUACUGCGAAAGCAUUUGCCAAGGAUGUUUUCAUUAAUCAAGAACGAAAGUUAGGGGGAUCGAAGACGAUCAGAUACCGUCGUAGUCUUAACCAUAAACUAUGCCGACUAGGGAUCGGAUGAUGUUAAUUUUUUAAUGACUCAUUCGGCGCCUUACG